rnacentral:rRNA from 1 species
AGCGAACGCUGGCGGCAGGCCUAACACAUGCAAGUCGAACGAACUCUUCGGAGUUAGUGGCGGACGGGUGAGUAACACGUGGGAACGUGCCCUUUGGUUCGGAAUAACUCAGGGAAACUUGUGCUAAUACCGAAUGUGCCCUUCGGGGGAAAGAUUUAUCGCCAUUAGAGCGGCCCGCGUCUGAUUAGCUAGUUGGUGAGGUAACGGCUCACCAAGGCGACGAUCAGUAGCUGGUCUGAGAGGAUGACCAGCCACACUGGGACUGAGGCACGGCCCAGACUCCUACGGGAGGCAGCAGUGGGGAAUCUUGCGCAAGGGGCGAAAGCCUGACGCAGCCAUGCCGCGUGAAUGAUGAAGGUCUUAGGAUUGUAAAAUUCUUUCACCGGGGACGAUAAUGACGGUACCCGGAGAAGAAGCCCCGGCUAACUUCGUG